rnacentral:rRNA from 1 species
ACUCCUACGGGAGGCAGCAGUAAGGAAUAUUGGGCAAUGGACGCAAGUCUGACCCAGCCAUGCCGCGUGAAGGAUGAAGGCCCUCUGGGUUGUAAACUUCUUUUAUCUGGGGCGAAAGGCGGUUAUUCUUAGCCGUUUGACAGUACCAGAGGAAUAAGCACCGGCUAACUCCGUGCCAGCAGCCGCGGUAAUAC